UAUGUUCAUUUGCAUGCUUUGAUCGUGAAAUAUGGACAGAAUAGUACACAAAGGUUGACUGUUAACCAGUGUACAAUGUGCAUGCAUACUGAAAUGAAAUGAUUGGAUGACUGUUAUCCAAUAAGGAGGACUGCUCUCCUAGAUUUGAAUGAUUGCAAUACUAAUGUAAGAUUAUAAUCUAACAUUCUCGUUCUGAAAAUCAUAUACUAGUAUUUUGACGACUGAUUUUUAAUCAUGGAGGACUGCUCUCCUAUUUAUGAUGUUGAACACUAUAUUUAUAUGUUCAUUUGCAUGCUUUGAUCGUGAAAUAUGAACAGAAUAGUACACAAAGGUUGACUGUUAACCAGUGUACAAUAUGCUUGCAUACUGAAAUGAAAUGAUUGGAUGACUGUUAUCCAAUAAGGAGGACUGCUCUCCUAGAUUUGAAUGAUUACAAUACUAAUAUAAGAUUAUAAUCUAACAUGCUGGUUCUGAAAAUCAUAUACUAGUAUUUUGAUGACUGAUUUUUAAUCAUGGAGGACUGCUCUCCAAUUUAUGAUUUUGAUGAAAAAGUUGCUUACAUUGAAGAAUUAUCAAGGCCAAUGGAUAAAUAUUGACAAGUUUAAAGUCGAUUUUCCUUUUAGCUACAUAGUGGAGUCUUUGCCGCAUAUCGUGAGAAAUACAAAAUCUCAAUCAACGAACAAGAUCUACGACAUAUAUUUCUCUAAAUUCAGAGACUGGUGUUCGAAGCAUUCAUUUACGCAUCCUCCUGCAUCAGUGUCUACUGUUGCUCUUUUUGUGGGAGGUUUGGUGCGACAGAGGGUAUCAACGUCGCUUCUGGAAGCGUAUUUCUACAGUAUAAGUCGGACUCAUGAAUUUUCUUCAAACUUGUACCCAUGCGAGGAUAAGUUCCUUUGUGAUGUGUUUAUUGUGUUUUUAUGGUAUGAAAUAUUUGAUUAUGUGAUAUCAAUUGGGAAAGUGCUCACAUCGAAAUUGAUAUUCCCAGAAGCAAAACGGAUAUCUACAGGAGAGGAAAUUCGGUGAUAUACGCAAAAACUGGAAACGAUUUGUGCCCUGUGUUUUGGUUAAACAUCGUCAUGUCUGAGAUGGAUGUCUUCCAAUGAUUACAUGUUUACAGAUGUAAAUUUUGUAAAUCCCUCAAUAAAUGCAAAGUUUCAAAUAAACUCAAACCUCUGUCAUAUACAAGAGCUAGGAAAAUAUUGUCUUCUUUAAAUGAAAUUGGCCUUGACAGUUUUGAAUAUGCUUUACACAGUUUACGUAGCGGCGGAGUUACAGCCGCUGCUAAUGAUAAUGUGUUUGUUCGAUUGCUUAAUGUGUUUGUUCGAUUGCUUAAAAUACAUGGUCGGUGGGUCACGGAUAAAGCCAAAGACGGUUAUAUAAAAGCCAAUCUUGAACAUAAAUUUCUGGUUUCAAUGAAUCUUGGAUUAUAAAAUUAUUUUAAUUUAUUGCACCUACUGUCCUUUGUUUAAUGCGAUUUGUAACGAACGCAACAAUCCUACAGUAUAUUCUUUUUCUUUGUUUUUCAAUAAAUUAGUCAAGAAAAUAUUUAUUUGCGGAGGAGUGAAACGAGGGAGAAAAUAAAUUUAUUUCUUUACGUUUUUACUUCGGUAUUCUCCGUGAAACUUCGUAUCUUAAGAAACUGGUUUUUCAUGCACGAGCGAUUUAGCGCUCACUAUAAAUACUUUUACCAGGGAAUGUUCGAUUAAUGCGACGUUCGUUACAAAGAAUCGCAGGUUGUUUUGUGUCUUUGGUUUUCCCUGCCCUCCCAGCCCUUGCAUUGUUUAUCGUGUAAAAUUUAUUACAUGUAGUUUGAUUUGUAUGUUUUGAAUAAAAAUGCGAUUUGUAACGAACGCAACAAUCCUACAG